CCUACGGGAGGCAGCAGUGAGGAAUAUUGGUCAAUGGACGAGAGUCUGAACCAGCCAAGUAGCGUGAAGGAUGACUGCCCUAUGGGUUGUAAACUUCUUUUAUAUGGGAAUAAAGUGUUCCACGUGUGGGAUUUUGUAUGUACCUUAUGAAUAAGGAUCGGCUAACUCCGUGCCAGCAGCCGCAGUAAUACGGAGGAUCCGAGCGUUAUCCGGAUUUAUUGGGUUUAAAGGGAGCGUAGGUGGUUUCUUAAGUCAGUUGUGAAAGUUUGCGGCUCAACCGUAAAAUUGCAGUUGAAACUGGCAGUCUUGAGUACAGUAGAGGUGGGCGGAAUUCGUGGUGUAGCGGUGAAAUGCUUAGAUAUCACGAAGAACUCCGAUUGCGAAGGCAGUUCACUGGACUGCAACUGACACUGAGGCUCGAAAGUGUGGGUAUCAAACAGGAUUAGAUACCCGGGUAGUC
rnacentral:rRNA from 1 species